rnacentral:lncRNA from 1 species
AGCAAGAAUAGAGGCUUGAUGAAUGCAUAAACCAAGGUGAGGCUGUAAAAGGCAAUUUUCCCAUUGACAGAAUACUUCAGCAGCACUUCGCAGAUAGCCUGUUGGACAAAGUACAUUGUAAACGGGGUGAGAGCUGACUGUGCAGAACUGCAGAAAGACAUUGCUUUGGUUAAGGGACAAUAAAUCAAGAAGAUCAGAAACGUCAUUAAAAGUGAUACAUCCUGGAAAUCGACAGUCCUGAUUUUGUGCCUGAAACUGGCACGCUGAGCUGGCCAGUAGCACUCAGGAGUGGGGACGUGGGGUUACGCUGAAGGCUGGUGUGGACCCC